AAAAAUGAUGAUAUUUUCGCGCAAACAUUAAAUUCAUACUACGAUGUAGCAUGAUGAAAACUCUGUCAUCCUUGAACUGAUUUUUUUUUU
rnacentral:snoRNA from 1 species